GAAUGUGAUAUUAUUUUCUUAAAUCAAUAAAAUGGAAAUAAAGCAAGCAGAAAAUAAUUUUUACAAAGAAGAAUGUAAAAUUAAAAUCGAAAAUUCUGGACAACCUGUGUGAUGCUGUAAUAGUUCCUAUUCUGUUAAAACUUUAAAACUGAGAUAGAGUAGAGACUGUAGAGAGUCUUUAAAACUGAUAAAAGUAGUUAUUUCUAUGGUGGAAAUUUUUUGGACCAAAUAAAUAGUGAAGACAUCAAAUAAAAGGAGGAUAGAUAAUUCAUGUCCAAAAUGAUUUUCUUCAUAAUAAAUGAAGAACUGAAGUUAUUGUAAAACCAGUGGCUGGACAUUCUCCUGUCAAGAAGAACAACCCAUUAGCAAGUGUGCAAAAGAAACAAUGAAAUUGUGAAAUUUGUUUUAGGUUAUUUACCUGUGUAGAUUAUUUGAAAAAACAUUUAAGAGCACACACUGGAGAAAAACCUUAUCAAUGUGAAAUCUGCGUUAAGCAAUUUUCUCUAAAUUCUCCUCUAAAUCGACAUAAAUAUAUGAUAGUUCAUACUCGGGAAAAAUCUCACAAAUGUGAAAUCGUUUACCACUGUGUGUCAUAUGAAAGCACAUUUUAGAACACACAGUGGUAAAAAACCUUAUGAAUGCAACAUUUGUAGUAAGCAAUUGUUGACUGCAAAAACAAAUUUAAAUAAAAAAGUGACAAAGAUGUGACAGAAA